rnacentral:sRNA from 1 species
ACUGCUGUGAUGAGCUGUUAACAUGUAAGAAGAUCCCUUUUUAUUGGGAGUGAUUCAUGCCGAGCAAU